rnacentral:rRNA from 1 species
AACGAACGCUGGCGGCAUGCCUAACACAUGCAAGUCGAACGAAGGCUUCGGCCUUAGUGGCGCACGGGUGCGUAACGCGUGGGAAUCUGCCCUUAGGUUCGGAAUAACAGCUGGAAACGGCUGCUAAUACCGGAUGAUGACGAAAGUCCAAAGAUUUAUCGCCUGAGGAUGAGCCCGCGUUGGAUUAGGUAGUUGGUGGGGUAAAGGCCUACCAAGCCGACGAUCCAUAGCUGGUCUGAGAGGAUGAUCAGCCACACUGGGACUGAGACACGGCCCAGACUCCUACGGGAGGCAGCAGUGGGGAAUAUUGGACAAUGGGCGAAAGCCUGAUCCAGCAAUGCCGCGUGAGUGAUGAAGGCCCUAGGGUUGUAAAGCUCUUUUACCCGGGAAGAUAAUGACUGUACCGGGAGAAUAAGCCCCGGCUAACUCCGUGCCAGCAGCCGCGGUAAUACGGAGGGGGCUAGCGUUGUUCGGAAUUACUGGGCGUAAAGCGCACGUAGGCGGCUUUGUAAGUCAGAGGUGAAAGCCUGGAGCUCAACUCCAGAACUGCCUUUGAGACUGCAUCGCUUGAAUCCAGGAGAGGUCAGUGGAAUUCCGAGUGUAGAGGUGAAAUUCGUAGAUAUUCGGAAGAACACCAGUGGCGAAGGCGGCUGACUGGACUGGUAUUGACGCUGAGGUGCG